rnacentral:lncRNA from 1 species
GGGUGCUGGGUGUCCGAUGCAUUCUGAUCGGGUUGUCAAUUUCUCUCCAUUGCUCUCCUUUCUUUCUUACAACCUAUCUUAGUUUUAGGACAAGGCUUUAAGAUUUAAGAUAAAGCCUUAUCUGAUCCUGACAGGGGUUGUGAGAGUUCUAAAGAGGAGAAUUAGAAGUCUAAAGAAGGGUCUUAGAGGAUGGAGUUAGAUUCUUGAAGAAACCUGAUCGGUACGAGAUGAGUCGAGUUCUAGGGGCUAGAACUCUUGAAGCA